rnacentral:rRNA from 1 species
CAGUCGCCGCGGGAAUACGUAGGGUGCAAGCGUUAAUCGGAAUUACUGGGCGUAAAGCGUGCGCAGGCGGUUAUAUAAGACAGAUGUGAAAUCCCCGGGCUCAACCUGGGAACUGCAUUUGUGACUGUAUAGCUAGAGUACGGCAGAGGGGGAUGGAAUUCCUCGUGUAGCAGUGAAAUGCGUAGAUAUGCGGAGGAACACCGAUGGCGAAGGCAAUCCCCUGGGCCUGUACUGACGCUCAUGCACGAAAGCGUGGGGAGCAAACAGGAUUAGAUACCCCCGUAGUCCCUGUCUCUUAUAC